rnacentral:rRNA from 1 species
GACGAACGCUGGCGGCGUGCUUAACACAUGCAAGUCGAACGGAAAGGCCCUGCUUUUGUGGGGUGCUCGAGUGGCUAACGGGUUAGUAACACGUUAGUAACCUGCCCUUGACUUUGGUAUAACUUCAGGAAACUGGGGCUAAUACCGGAUAGGAGCUCCUGCUGCAUGGUGGGGGUUGGAACGUUUCGGCGGUUGGGGAUAGACUCGCGGCUUAUCAGCUUGUUGGUGGGGUAGUGGCUUACCAAGGCUUUGACGGGUAGCCGGCCUGAGAGGGUGACCGGCCACAUUGGGACUGAGAUAAGGCCCAGACUCAUAAGGGAGGCAGCAGUGGGGAAUAUUGCACAAUGGGCGGAAGCCUGAUGCAGCAACGCCGCGUGCGGGAUGACGGCCUUAGGGUUGUAAACCGCUUUCGCCUGUGACGAAGCGUGAGUGACGGUAAUGGGUAAAGAAGCACCGGCUAACUACGUG